rnacentral:rRNA from 1 species
AGCGAACGCUGGCGGCAGGCCUAACACAUGCAAGUCGAACGGAUCCUUCGGGAUUAGUGGCGGACGGGUGAGUAACACGUGGGAACGUGCCCUUGGGUUCGGAACAACUCAGGGAAACUUGAGCUAAUACCGGAUGUGCCCUUCGGGGGAAAGAUUUAUCGCCAUUGGAGCGGCCCGCGUCUGAUUAGCUAGUUGGUGAGGUAACGGCCCACCAAGGCGACGAUCAGUAGCUGGUCUGAGAGGAUGAUCAGCCACACUGGGACUGAGACACGGCCCAGACUCCUACGGGAGGCAGCAGUGGGGAAUCUUGCGCAAUGGGCGAAAGCCUGACGCAGCCAUGCCGCGUGAAUGAUGAAGGUCUUAGGAUUGUAAAAUUCUUUCAGCGGGGACGAUAAUGACGGUACCCGCAGAAGAAGCUCCGGCUAACUUCGUG